UGGAUGACAAAAGAUAUGCUGAAGUCGCUGUUGCCGGAGGAGGGGUGUCUGUUGCAGUAACUGCUUCCCUCCUGAGCAGAAGAGACCUAUUGGACCUCUUGUUGUGGUUGGUGUAAGAGAUGGAGUUCCCUGGCUUGUUGAUAGGUAUAUGUGUGCACAUGCCUUGUCACUCAGCCAUCCUGGUAUAAGAUGUCGUUGCCUUGCAGCAUAUGGGGAUCCUGUUAGUGCUGUGAAAUGGGCAACUAGACUUGGCCGAGAGCACCAUGAUGACCUCGCUCAGUUUAUGCUGGGAAUGGGCUAUGCCACUGAAGCUCUUCAUUUACCCGGAAUUUCUAAGAGGUUGGAGUUCGACCUUGCAAUGCAGAGCAAUGACCUGAAAAGAGCACUCGCAUGUUUUUUGAC